UCCUUCUGACCUGCGCGUUUUCCUGUGACUCUCCGGGAGCCUCCGCUGCUUGGGACCGGAGCGGUGCUGCGGUUGGUGUGAUCGCAAUGGUUUGUCUACUUAAAGGUGCAGGGAGGAACCAUCAAGAAAAUGACCUCAUCAGCUUCAAAACUGUUACCUUGAACACUUAAUAACCUUAAUGCAGUGAAGAUUGCACAGUCCACAGACAGAGCAACUCCACCAAUUUCAAGUGAAAGAAGGUGCCUUCCUUGGAUCUGCUCAGGCAUCACUUCUUUAUGACUUCGAUGACUAAAAGUUAGGUCCUGGUGAUUGUAAACUGUACCCAGGGUACUGGCCCAGAAGGCACAGUGACUCAGAGGCAUGUGACGCAGAGUGCCUCCCCCUCUUCCUCCUGGCCAUGGGCAUGCAGGUACACACUGCUGGCCUAAUGCAUCCUUCAGUUACUACAUGUUCUUGCAGCUAUUUCACACAGCCUUGCUCUGAAUGGUAAGUAGCAGGAGCGGGACCAUAUCUUCACCUUGUUCAUGCCUCUGCCUGCUCCCACUUAGUGGGCUCCAAGUACCAUUUCUCUGUGGUUAGAUCACUGGUCCAGCAGGUCCUGUGUGUAGGUGACUGCUCACUUAGUGAGCAUUUAAUCUUUUGUUUUGAGGUUUGCUGGUGCUUCUAGCCAACAUCUGGCUAUGGUGUGCCAAAUAAAACCCACAUCAGUGUUUCAUGUGAAUCCAUUGCAAGUACAAUUUAUGUCCUUCAGCAAUGUGAUUUACCUCUACCUUUUUGUUGUGUGGGUGGCUUCUUUGUUAAUGUAACCUGUGUGGCAA